rnacentral:rRNA from 1 species
CCUACGGGGGGCUGCAGUCGAGAAUUUUUCUCAAUGGGGGAAACCCUGAAGGAGCGACGCCGCGUGGAGGAUGACGGUCUUCGGAUUGUAAACUCCUGUCAUUAGGGAACAAUUGCAUCAUAUUAACUGUGUGGUGCUUGAUAGUACCUGAAGAGGAAGAGACGGCUAACUCUGUGCCAGCAGCCGCGGUAAUACAGAGGUCUCAAGCGUUGUUCGGAUUCAUUGGGCGUAAAGGGUGCGUAGGCGGCGGGGUAAGUCUGGUGUGAAAUCUCGGG